ACUAUUUUUACAUUCUAGAAAGGGCCUGGGGGGCAUUGUAUAAAUAAACAAGUAAAUACACAGGCGUUACGGAGAAAGAGAGAGCAAUGUGAAGGAGACAGGACAUGUUUGCCCCAUAGGUAGGCAGGUCUGGGCAGGCCUCAGUGUCAAGGUGACAUUUGAGCAGAGACUUAGAGCCAUGGGCAGAAGGAAAGAUGUGGCUCUCUGAAGGGAAACCAUUUAAGUCAGAGGAAACAGCAAACACAAAUGUCUUAAAGCUGCAGCAGAGCUGGAAUGUUCACAGAAGGUUCACAUAAACCCUAAGAGGUUUCCAUAGCUGGGACAGAGUGUGUGAGGGGAAGAGGGAUAGGACACGGGAUGGUAGGAGCAGUUGGGGGCAUGGGAUGCAAACCACGUAGGCCCUUAUCGGCCACUGGAGGACUCUGACUUUUCCAUGGCUUGACAAACAGAAGGCACUGGGGAGUUUUGAGCAGAGAAGUGACUUCAUUUCAAAAGGCUUCCUUUGGAUGCUACACAGAAGUCGAGUGCAAGGGCCAGUGACAGAAACGGAAUGCCCGUUUCAACCACUACAAACAAACCAGUCUCCCCAGCAGCACAGCGACCACCUGGAACUGCUAACUAAGUGAACUGGAGCAAGUCAUCCCCUCACUCAGACUCUGACCCAUAAUACAAGAGGGAAAACAACUAUAUCAGAGGAU
rnacentral:lncRNA from 10 species